CCUACGGGUGGCAGCAGUGGGGAAUAUUGCACAAUGGGGGAAACCCUGAUGCAGCGACGCCGCGUGAGUGAAGAAGUAAUUCGUUACGUAAAGCUCUAUCAGCAGGGAAGAAACACUGACCUUACGGUCAGCAGACGGUACCCGAGUAAGAAGCCCCGGCUAACUACGGGCCAGCAGCCGCGGGAAUACGUAGGGGGCAAGCGUUAUCCGGAUUUACUGGGUGUAAAGGGAGCGUAGACGGUGCGCCAAGUCUGGCGUGAAAUGCCGCAGCUUAACUGCGGAACUGCUUUGGAAACUGGCGAACUAGAGUGCGGGAGAGGUAAGCGGAAUUCCUAGUGUAGCGGUGAAAUGCGUAGAUAUUAGGAGGAACACCAGUGGCGAAGGCGGCUUACUGGACCGUAACUGACGUUGAGGCUCGAAAGCGUGGGGAGCAAACAGGAUUAGAUACCCGAGUAGUC
rnacentral:rRNA from 1 species